GUAGGUGGCAAGCGUUGUCCGGAAUUAUUGGGCGUAAAGCGCGCGCAGGCGGCCUUUUAAGUCUGAUGUGAAAGCCCACGGCUCAACCGUGGAGGGUCAUUGGAAACUGGAAGGCUUGAGUGCAGAAGAGAAGAGCGGAAUUCCACGUGUAGCGGUGAAAUGCGUAGAGAUGUGGAGGAACACCAGUGGCGAAGGCGGCUCUUUGGUCUGUAACUGACGCUGAGGCGCGAAAGCGUGGGGAGCGAACAGGAUUAGAUACCCUGGUAGUCCACGCCGUAAACGAUGAGUGCUAAGUGUUGGGGGGUUUCCGCCCCUCAGUGCUGCAGCUAACGCAUUAAGCACUCCGCCUGGGGAGUACGGCCGCAAGGCUGAA
rnacentral:rRNA from 1 species